GAUGAACGCUGGCGGCGUGCCUAAUACAUGCAAGUCGAGCGAACGGACGAGAAGCUUGCUUCUCUGAUGUUAGCGGCGGACGGGUGAGUAACACGUGGAUAACCUACCUAUAAGACUGGGAUAACUUCGGGAAACCGGAGCUAAUACCGGAUAAUAUUUUGAACCGCAUGGCUCAAAAGUGAAAGACGGUCUUGCUGUCACUUAUAGAUGGAUCCGCGCUGCAUUAGCUAGUUGGUAAGGUAACGGCUUACCAAGGCAACGAUGCAUAGCCGACCUGAGAGGGUGGUCGGCCACACUGGAACUGAGACACGGUCCAGACUCCUACGGGAGGCAGCAGUAGGGAAUCUUCCGCAAUGGGCGAAAGCCUGACGGAGCAACGCCGCGUGAGUGAUGAAGGUCUUCGGAUCGUAAAACUCUGUUAUUAGGGAAGAACAUAUGUGUAAGUAACUGUGCACAUCUUGACGGUACCUAAUCAGAAAGCCACGGCUAACUACGUG
rnacentral:rRNA from 1 species